CAUGCCAGGUUUUUGGUCUUUGAUUUAUUUAUUUAUUUUUUUUGCUUUUUUUGCAUGCCAUGUUUUAGAACACCUGUCUCUAUUCAGCUCCCAAGCACGGGACCAAUAUCACCAAUCUUGCACAGUUUGGUGGCAGGGUGCAAUACAGAGCUUCAACCAACAUGGUUCCACUGGCAUUUCCAUCCUUACAGGUGAUUUUCCAUUCCUUGAACCAAGAUAUAGAUCCUGCUGAUUAUUGACAAAAUCUACUAUGAAGAGACUUAGAUCUGAUUAAAUGAAAAAAAAGACUGUUAUUCAUCAUAGUGAUGAUACAAUGUUGACAACUCAAUCUGAAGGUCAAGUGGACUGAACUAAAAUGCUGAUAAAUCAAUAUGGCCACCAGAGGGUCAUGGAUUAACCCAGCUGAACUACAGAGUCAAGCACAAAUGAUAAGAUUCUUAAAAAUUAUCUGCACUGGAGACACUAGAGAUAUACCUCAAAGAACCAGAAAUAAGUGUUUUUUUUUGUUUUGUUUUUUUUUCUCGGCCAUCUCCAAAAUGAAAAUAAGAGGCAUGAAGAUUGAUUGAGUUGUUAGUCUCUGAAGAAAUCACAUAGCACAAGUAAAAAAUUUACUAGUUCCUUUUCAUCAAAGUAUCAGGGAAAAAGAUGAAUUUUAAUGAUGUUAUGUACAACAGAAGACACUCUUAGAGUUUCAAAGAACUCAGUCUAAUGUCUUACCAGUCAAUUCCUUGGGGUGGUACAAGCCCAAUGCUCAAAUGUUAUAAGUGUCAGCCACUUGCACUUUUGCUGUCUAGAGUUUUGCAAAAGCUCAUAUCUGUUACCCAGCAAUAAUAACUGCUGGGAUUUUGGAGUAGAAAUUUGCCAGAAGCUGUUGCCAUAUAAAUUCCCUUUGAAAGACAAUUUUAGGUAUGUUACUGGGCUUCAAAUUAAACUGUUUCUGUUAUGGAAGGACAUAAAAUUAUUUUGAGAUACAGAAUACCUUUCAUGUCAUGGAUUAUGUCAAAACACCUUUCCAAUAGAGAGGGAAACACACAGAGGAGUUGGGAAUGAUAUAUUAAAAAUAUGCUACAGCAGUACCUAUCCCAUACAUGAACAGGUGGCACCCAUACCUGUGGGUUCCCUAUUCAGUCCACCUGCAGAAUUACCUAACUGUACAGUUGAAUAGAUAUGUCCCUAAGGUCACCUAAUAGAUGAUGCUAAAUAAGUAAUAAUGUUCACAGAUGUUAAUUCCCAGGAUCCUCAAUCAGAAAUGCAGCUGUACUAUAUCUGGACAAUGGCUGAAAUUUGCAAGAAGACUUAAAAAAUAAACAGACUAAGUUAUCAGAACUAGGAGCA
rnacentral:lncRNA from 12 species